UGGACCUAGCCAUUUAAGGGUCCAAGUUCAGUCCACUUUGGACCCCCAAGACCUCCUCACAGUCACUUAUCCUUCAUUUUGCCACUUUUACAGAAAAUAGUCCUCUUUGUAUCUCUUGUGCUGAAGCAGAAAGCUCUGCUAGGGCUUAAACAAGUUCCUUGAUUUCCAUAGCUGAAACAUCUUUCUACCACCUCAUUAAGCUGUUCUUGGUCUUGGUUCUCUUCCACCAAGAGUCCUUUAAGAACAUUUAGCUCCAUUCGAGAUGUGGAAACCCUUGGUAGAACUCAGGAUGGUGAAGAUGCUGCUGUGUAAAGUGGUCCCUUUAGUCUGGGUUAUGGCUCACUGUUGAGCCACUUUUUGAACAACUCUUGUUUAUUUAGAUUGCUUGCUCUAUGAGCAAUCUUUUGUAAAACAAUAGUAUCCUUGUGUCCUUUUUAUGACAAUUGUGAUGUGCCUAAGCUUUUAUUCCAAGUAUACUAUGGAUAAUUGUAAUAGUCAGUACAUGUAUGCU